rnacentral:rRNA from 1 species
AACGAACGCUGGCGGCAGGCUUAACACAUGCAAGUCGAACGCCCCGCAAGGGGAGUGGCAGACGGGUGAGUAACACGUGGGAACAUGCCCACAGGUACGGAAUAUUCUCGGGAAACUGAGAGCAAUACCGUAUGUGCCCGAAAGGGGAAAGAUUUAUCGCCUUUGGAUUGGCCCGCGUCGGAUUAGCUAGUUGGUGGGGUAAAAGCCUACCAAGGCGACGAUCCGUAGCUGGUCUGAGAGGACGACCAGCCACACUGGGACUGAGACACGGCCCAGACUCCUACGGGAGGCAGCAGUGGGGAAUCUUGGACAAUGGGCGCAAGCCUGAUCCAGCCAUGCCGCGUGGAUGAUGAAGGCCCUAGGGUUGUAAAAUCCUUUCGUUGGGGACGAUAAUGACGGUACCCAAAGAAGAAGCUCCGGCUAACUUCGUG